rnacentral:rRNA from 1 species
AGUGAACGCUGGCGGUGUGCCUAACACAUGCAAGUCGAACGGCAGCACAGUAAGCUCUUGCUCUUACGGGUGGCGAGUGGCGGACGGGUGAGGAAUACAUCGCAAUCUACUUUUUCGUGGGGGAUCACGUAGGGCAACUUACACUAAUACCGCAUACUACCUACGGGUGAAAGCAGGGGAUCUUCGGACCUUGCGCGAUUGAAUGAGCCGAUGUCGGAUUAGCUAGUUGGCUGGGUAAAGGCCCACCAAGGCGACGAUCCGUAGCUGGUCUGAGAGGAUGAUCAGCCACACUGGAACUGAGACACGGUCCAGACUCCUACGGGAGGCAGCAGUGGGGAAUCUUGGACAAUGGGCGAAAGCCUGACCCAGCCACGCCGCGUGGGUGAAGAAGGCCUUCGGGUUGUAAAGCCCUUUUGUUAGGAAAGAAAAGAAGCAGAUUAAUACGCCGCUGUUCUGACGGUACCUAAAGAAAAAGCACCGGCUAACUUCGUG